rnacentral:rRNA from 1 species
UACGAAGGGUGCAAACGUUGCUCGGAAUUAUUGGGCGUAAAGCGCACGUAGGCGGUUCGUUAUGUCGGAUGUGAAAGCCCUUGGCUUAACCGAGGAAGUGCAUCCGAAACUGGCGAGCUAGAGUACUAAAGAGGAUCGCGGAAUUCCCGGUGUAGAGGUGAAAUUCGUAGAUAUCGGGAGGAACACCGGUGGCGAAGGCGGCGAUCUGGGUAGAUACUGACGCUGAGGUGCGAAAGCGUGGGUAGCAAACAGGA